rnacentral:rRNA from 1 species
UACGGAGGGGGCGAGCGUUGUUCGGAAUCAUUGGGCGUAAAGGGCGCGUAGGCGGCCGGCCAAGUCGGGUGUGAAAUCCCUCGGCUCAACCGAGGAACUGCACUCGAUACUGGCUGGCUUGAGUCCGGGAGGGGAUGGUGGAAUUCCCAGCGUAGCGGUGAAAUGCGUAGAUAUUGGGAAGAACACCGGUGGCGAAGGCGGCCAUCUGGACCGGAACUGACGCUGAGGCGCGAAAGCCAGGGGAGCGAAUGGG